rnacentral:tRNA from 2 species
GCCGGGGUGGCGGAAUGGUAGACGCAGUGGACUCAAAAUCCACCGGGGGCAACCUCGUGAGAGUUCGAGUCUCUCUCCCGGCACCA